UCGAGAAUUUUUCACAAUGGGGGAAACCCUGAUGGAGCGACGCCGCGUGGAGGAUGAAGGCCUUCGGGUCGUAAACUCCUGUCACUACAGAACAAGGGUAGUAUUGCGAAUAUCAAUAUUAUUUGAUGGUAUGUGGAGAGGAAGGAACGGCUAACUCUGUGCCAGCAGCCGCGGUGAUACAGAGGUUCCAAGCGUUGUUCGGAUUUACUGGGCGUAAAGGGUGCGUAGGGGGUCAAGAUAGUCGGAUGUGAAAGCCCACAGCUUAACUGUGGAACUGCACUCGAUACUACUUGGCUAGAGGAUUGGAAGGGAGAGCGGAAUUCUUGGUGUAGCGGUGAAAUGCGUAGAUAUCAAGAGGAACGCCAGUGGCGAAAGCGGCUCUCUGGACAACUCCUGACCCUGAGGCACGAAGGCUAGGGUAGCAAACG
rnacentral:rRNA from 1 species